CAUGCAGUCGAACGAUGACCCGGUGCUUGCACCGGUGAUUAGUGGCGAACGGGUGAGUAACACGUGAGUAACCUGCCCUUAACUCUGGGAUAAGCCUGGGAAACUGGGUCUAAUACCGGAUAUGACUCCUCAUCGCAUGGUGGGGGGUGGAAAGCUUUUUGUGGUUUUGGAUGGACUCGCGGCCUAUCAGCUUGUUGGUGAGGUAAUGGCUCACCAAGGCGACGACGGGUAGCCGGCCUGAGAGGGUGACCGGCCACACUGGGACUGAGACACGGCCCAGACUCCUACGGGAGGCAGCAGUGGGGAAUAUUGCACAAUGGGCGAAAGCCUGAUGCAGCGACGCCGCGUGAGGGAUGACGGCCUUCGGGUUGUAAACCUCUUUCAGUAGGGAAGAAGCGAAAGUGACGGUACCUGCAGAAGAAGCGCCGGCUAACUACGUGCCAGCAGC
rnacentral:rRNA from 1 species